rnacentral:rRNA from 1 species
AUACAAUGGAGAGUUUGAUCCUGGCUCAGGAUGAACGCUAGCGGGAGGCCUAACACAUGCAAGCCGAGCGGUAGAGUUUCUUCGGAAACUUGAGAGCGGCGUACGGGUGCGGAACACGUGUGCA